GAAAUGCGAUAAGUAAUGUGAAUUGCAGAAUUCAGUGAAUCAUCGAAUCUUUGAACGCACCUUGCGCUCCUUGGUAUUCCUUGGAGCAUGCCUGUUUGAGUAUCAUGAAAUCUUCAAAGUAAAUCUUUUGUUAACUCAAUUGGUUUCUACUUUGGUAUUGGAGGUCUUUGCAGCUUCACACCUGCUCCUCUUUGUUCAUUAGCUGGAUCUCAGUGUUAUGCUUGGUUCCACUCGGCGUGAUAAGUUAUCUAUCGCUGAGGACACUGUAAAAGGUGGCCAAGGUACAUGCAGAUGAACCGCUUCUAAUAGUCCAUUGACUUGGACAAUACUUUUAUGAUCUGAUCUCACAUCAGGUAGGACUACCCGCUGAACUUAAGC
rnacentral:misc_RNA from 1 species